rnacentral:lncRNA from 1 species
CCCUCUUCUUCAUUUCUUGACUCAAUACUCAUUUCUCAGUCUCAAUUUUUCUCGUUCUCUCAUUCUCCAAUUUGCAAGACUUCGUCUCAAUCUCAAAUUCUCAAUUCUCAAAUCUCAAGUUAAAUCAUGGCUCGUACUUCUAGAGUGCGCUCAUAUGUUUGGCAAUACUUUGAGGUGGUAGAAGAAAAUGAAGAAGGUCAUAAAGUAAAGUGCAAGAACUGUGGUCAAGU